GCAAUGUGAGAAAUCGCGACGGGGGAACCCCAAGUGCCAUUCUUAACGGGAUGGCUUUUCUUGAGUGUAAAAAGCUCUUGGAAUAAGAGCUGGGCAAGACCGGUGCCAGCCGCCGCGGUAACACCGGCAGCUCUAGUGGUAGCCAUUUUUAUUGGGCCUAAAGCGUUCGUAGCCGGUUUAAUAAGUCUUUGGUGAAAUCCUACAGCUUAACUGUAGGAAUUGCUGGAGAUACUAUUAGACUUGAGGUCGGGAGAGGUUAGAGGUACUCCCAGGGUAGGGGUGAAAUCCUGUAAUCCUGGGAGGACCACCUGUGGCGAAGGCGUCUAACUGGAACGAACCUGACGGUGAGGGACGAAAGCUAGGGGCGCGAACCGGAUUAGAUACCCGGGUAGUCCUAGCCGUAAACGAUGUGGACUUGGUGUUAGGAUGGCUUCGAGCCGCCCUAGUGCCGAAGGGAAGCUGUUAAGUCCAUCGCCUGGGAAGUACGGUCGCAAGACUGAAACUUAAAGGAAUUGGCGGGGGA
rnacentral:rRNA from 1 species